GGUCUAGCUGACUGCCUCAAUGAAUAUUUUUGUUCUGUAUUUACAGAUGAAAAUGAAGGAAAGGAGUCACAGUUAGGAAAAAGGACAAAUGAGUAAUUUGUUACAUGUGAGUUUACAGAGGAAGAGGUUCUAUUUCAACUGUCAAAGGAUAGGACAAAUAAGUCAAUGGGGCCUGAUGGAAUACACCCAAAGCUAUUAAAAGAGCUUAGUGGUGUACUAGCAAAACCAUUAACAGAUUUAUUUAACCAAUCAUUGUUAACAGGAGUGGUCCCAGAAGAGUGGAAGUUAGCAAAUGUUGUGCCCAUUCACAAGAAAGGUAGUAGGGAGGAGUCGGGCAACUAUAGGCCAGUAAACCUUACUUUAGUAGUAGGGAAAGUAAUGGAAACCAUGUUAAAGAAUAGGAUUGUUGAAUAUCUAAAAUCACAUGGCUUUCAAGAUCAGAGACAAUAUGGGUUUUCGUCAGGGAGGUCAUGCCAAAC